GGGAAUGUAGCUCAGUGGUAGAGAGCUUUCCUAGCAUGUGAGUGGUCCUAGGUUUGAUCCCUAGCACUUCAG
rnacentral:tRNA from 1 species